rnacentral:rRNA from 1 species
UCGAGCGGACAGAUGGGAGCUUGCUCCCUGAUGUUAGCGGCGGACGGGUGAGUAACACGUGGGUAACCUGCCUGUAAGACUGGGAUAACUCCGGGAAACCGGGGCUAAUACCGGAUGCUUGUUUGAACCGCAUGGUUCAAACAUAAAAGGUGGCUUCGGCUACCACUUACAGAUGGACCCGCGGCGCAUUAGCUAGUUGGUGAGGUAACGGCUCACCAAGGCGACGAUGCGUAGCCGACCUGAGAGGGUGAUCGGCCACACUGGGACUGAGACACGGCCCAGACUCCUACGGGAGGCAGCAGUAGGGAAUCUUCCGCAAUGGACGAAAGUCUGACGGAGCAACGCCGCGUGAGUGAUGAAGGUUUUCGGAUCGUAAAGCUCUGUUGUUAGGGAAGAACAAGUGCCGUUCAAAUAGGGCGGCACCUUGACGGUACCUAACCAGAAAGCCACGGCUAACUACGUGCCAGCAGCCGCGGUAAUACGUAGGUGGCAAGCGUUGUCCGGAAUUAUUGGGCGUAAAGGGCUCGCAGGCGGUUUCUUAAGUCUGAUGUGAAAGCCCCCGGCUCAACCGGGGAGGGUCAUUGGAAACUGGGGAACUUGAGUGCAGAAGAGGAGAGUGGAAUUCCACGUGUAGCGGUGAAAUGCGUAUAGAUGUGGAGGAACACCAGUGGCGAAGGCGACUCUCUGGUCUGUAACUGACGCUGAGGAGCGAAAGCGUGGGGAGCGAACAGGAUUAGAUACCC